GACGAACGCUGGCGGCGUGCUUAACACAUGCAAGUCGAACGGAAAGGCCCUGCUUUUGUGGGGUGCUCGAGUGGCGAACGGGUGAGUAACACGUGAGUAACCUGCCCUUGACUUUGGGAUAACUUCAGGAAACUGGGGCUAAUACCGGAUAGGAGCUCCUGCUGCAUGGUGGGGGUUGGAAAGUUUCGGCGGUUGGGGAUGGACUCGCGGCUUAUCAGCUUGUUGGUGGGGUAGUGGCUUACCAAGGCUUUGACGGGUAGCCGGCCUGAGAGGGUGACCGGCCACAUGGGGACUGAGAUACGGCCCAGACUCCUACGGGAGGAAGCAGUGGGGAAUAUUGCACAAUGCGCGGAAGCCUGAUGCAGCAACGCCGCGUGCGGGAUGACGGCCUUCGGGUUGUAAACCGCUUUCGCCUGUGACGAAGCGUGAGUGACGGUAAUGGGUAAAGAAGCACCGGCUAACUACGUG
rnacentral:rRNA from 1 species